GACGAACGCUGGCGGCGUGCCUAACACAUGCAAGUCGAACGGAAAGGCCCUGCUUUUGCGGGGUGCUCGAGUGGCGAACGGGUGAGUAAAACGUGAGUAAACUGCCCCUGACUGUGGGAUAACUUUAGGAAACUGGGGCUAAUACCGGAUAGGAGAUAUUGAAGCAUGGUGGGGGUUGGAAAGUUUCGGCGGUUGGGGCUGGACUCGCGGCUUAUCAGCUUGUUGGUGGAGUAGUGGCGUACCAAGGUUUCGAAGGCUAGCCGGCCUGGGAGGGUGACCAGCCACAUGAGUACUGAGAUACGGCCCAGACGCCAACGUGAGGCAGCGGUGGAGAAUAUUACACAACGGGCGCAAGCCUGAUACAACGGCGCCGCGUUCGGAAUGACGGCCUUCGGGUUGUAAACCGCUUUCGCCUUAGACGAAGCGUGAGUGACGGUAAUGGGUAAAGAAGCACCGGCUAACUACGUG
rnacentral:rRNA from 1 species